AAAAUCAUAAAAAUAAAAGUUGGAAACAUUUUUCAAGCAAUUUUCCUAGAAACAUUUUCAGUCAUGAAUAAUGAAAGAAAAACAGAAGUUAUCAAGAUUUUCAUUUUAUUCUUUAAUAGUGUUCAUUAUCUAGAGACAUGAGGAGGAAAGAUGGAUUCAUACAGCCAGCUGUAGGUUUUUGAGAUGACUCAAUAAUAGCAUA
rnacentral:miRNA from 12 species